UUAACGCCUACACGCGUCAAAGAAGGGCGUGCAAAUGUGCUUGCAGGCGGUUUAACAUGUGCUAAAUAAACGUCUGCAAGCGGUCCUGCGCACGUCAAGUUAACGCCUACAGCUGCUAAAUAUACAUCCACACAAGCUAAUUUAACGCGUUCUUUAAUAUGCAAUUUUACUAGCCAAUUUCCCUAGCUUCUCCUUUCAAACAAAUUUCACAAUUUGAAGGAACUUCCCUUUCCACUGCAAACAGAUUUUGAAACUUUACAAGAAGGGAACCAUGAAGAGGAGCUUGGAGUGGGCAAGGGAGAGGCUGAUAAAGCAACAGAGAAGACCUGAUUCAUCAAGUAUCAAUUCAUUCAGGUGAUUCUCACCUGGUAGGCAUGCACAACACAAGAAUGGAGCUGUCGGACCUGACAUAGGGGUGAUACGUCAGUCUCAGCGUAAACAAAACAAAGUAGAUGGUGAUACUUGACCAUUCUCUCACCUACUGUACAUUAACAUGGAGAUGAUCAGCAGCUUCAAGUUCCUGGGCACCCUGAUAUCCUUUUCUGCCCUCAGUUACUUCACUCAAAGUCCCACUUGUGCUUCUCCACUAAACUUUCUGCACCACGACCUAUGUACCAACUACAGUGUCUUUUUACAUUUCAUGUAAAUGAAAUGUCCAUAUUUACUGGAAGAUUUAUUUAUGGUAACAUAGUCCCUUGACAUACAUGACUUAACUACUUUGCAUAAUGCUCAGUUUACCCACUAAGAAAUCAUACAUGUAUUAAAAUAUUAAAGCUGCA